rnacentral:lncRNA from 1 species
CAAGGAAAAAUUCCAAAUAGAGGGAACUAUCAGAUUGGUAAUGGAUGAUUUGUGUUGUGUGGAUGACAACGAUGUAUUGAUGUCGGCAGAUAUUGACAAAUUGUACAUAUUAAAAGAAGGCGAGGAGUUAAAUCUUCCAGGACCUUCUGGUUCAGGUUCCCAAGAUCGCCUACAGAAAAUAAUGUUGUCAAUGAAAAGAAAGACUGUGAGUCAAGAGUUCCAGAUUUGUGCCAUUGCUUAGCAGAUCCAUGCAGGGGAACGAAAUCGCCUGUUCUGUAUGUGUCACGAAUCACAUUACCGUAAAACAAACGAUAAAACACACGUAUGUGUUACAGCCUAGUGACAGUGUUAAACAUUUGAUGAUACAUGUUGACGAAAUAAUCGGAACACAUGUUCACAAGAAAAGACAAACUUGAACGGCAGAAACGACUACAUCAAUUCAAGUCAACGUGUUGCAGGUGUUCUAUGCAGGUAUAACCUAAGCGUACCCAGUUUGUGGCCGCAAUUUCAUGGAAAAUAGGUGUCAGGAUCAUUGUAGAUGUGUGCAUUCUUAUGCAGAACGACUUGGAUACAAGAAUGGUAUGCGAUAAGCAGUUCUUGCAUAAAGGACAUCUUACUCUGUAAGAAAAUAAACCGCUGACGGAGAAAAGUGAACUUUAAGAAAAAGUGGAGUACUGUAUAAUAUUAUAGUUUACACGUUUUUCUGUAGACUGCAUAAAGGCGAUAGGAAAUCCCUUGAUUAUACAGUUUGUUAUCCGUUCAUUACUUUUAUUUCCUCACAUUUGAGUAGAAUUGUUAGUCUAGCUCACUUCUCUUAUGAAAUAAUUGCACCUACCAAGAAAACAUAUUUUGUGGUUUUGUGCCAUAUAAAUAAUUAUAAUUUUACAAUAUAAAUCUUUAGAAAAAUGUAAUAUCUUUGUAAUUUGAUAUAAUUUGGACAAUGAAUUUAUGUGCAUUAGCCCAGAUCUUACGUCAUUUUUUAUUUAAUAAGCCUAAAGAUGAUUCCACGUUUAGCCUCACCCAAGGUCAUGAUCAGUAUGAUAUUUUCAGUAUUAUUUCAUACAGGAAUCUUUAAAUGGCCGACUAAUAUUCCAUGCAAGUAUCCAUCCUUGUAUAUCAUUCAGUACGCCAAAAACUUUCACUUUCUAUGCUCAAGAUUAAUUAUAAGUAGUCAAAUUUGUGAAAGUCUUUUUCUUGUUAAGCAUUUAAUUUUUGGAUUCAAUAAUAUGAUGUUUUUUCUCAAGUAUAUGAUAAAAGAAUAUCAAAUUCAUGUACACGGCAGUUGUUUAAGUGUUUUGAUAAUAAACAGUUUGAUAUAAGGUUAUUGGAAUUAACCAGGCCGUACUAGUACGUAGGACAAAUGAAUUCAAAGUCUCGCCCGCCUAGUUCAAUAGGGAGAGCAAAGAUGUACGGAUCGCGAGAUCGUGAAUUCGUUUCCCGGUGAGUGUAAGUUAAUGACAAUUGAUUGUUAAAGGAUAAGUACAUAUUUGGCGUUUGUUUUAGGUAAAAAUCAUUUACGAAAGUGGUUCUCGAACAUCAACGGUGUAUUGCGAUAGGUAUCCCCUAACGUUGCAUUUUAAAAAGUGCGUUUAAACGGCAUAAAGAAUACAUUCUUCAAAGUAAGUUCUGUAGCAACCCAUUACAGAUGUAUAUAGUGUCUUCCGGUACCAGAAGAUGGCUGGAUUACGUUGAUAUUGAUAAACAGAGGACAAAGUGUGAACAAUUUUACAUGUUUCAUCGCCACUAGAACGGAAUGUAGGACGUUUUGGCCAGCGGACGUUUUGGCCCGGACGUUUCGGCCUAGGACGUUUUGGCCAGGCAUUUUUUGGGGGUAGGACGUUUUGGCCAAAAAUAAAUUUUGGUUUCAUAGAAUGCAAAAUAUUGUCUGGAGAUUAUUUCUUUGAUGUUUAUGAUCAAAAACAAACUUUAUAAUUAUCAAGUGAAACAACAAACAUAAUAAUAAUAAUCUUACUAAUUAUUUCUUUUUGAUCUUUAUCAGUACUACAAGUGUGACAAUAAAUAAAAUAAUUUGCACUGAUUAAAACAAUUAGAAAAAAUAUCACAAUCACAAUUUUUCUUUAAAAAACGAUCAAUUAUACUAUAACGAUAAAAUAGUAAUAUCAAAAUCAGAAUUUGCAUAUUUUGCAAAAAAAAAAAAAAUGGCCAAAACAUCCUAUUUCAACAAUAUUUUUGGCCAAAACGUCCUAG